rnacentral:rRNA from 1 species
CAGCACCGCGGGAAUACGAAGGGUGCAAGCGUUACUCGGAAUUACUGGGCGUAAAGCGUGCGUAGGUGGUGGUUUAAGUCCGUUGUGAAAGCCCUGGGCUCAACCUGGGAAUUGCAGUGGAUACUGGGUCACUAGAGUGUGGUAGAGGAUAGUGGAAUUUCCGGUGUAGCAGUGAAAUGCGUAGAGAUCGGAAGGAACAUCUGUGGCGAAGGCGACUAUCUGGGCCAACACUGACACUGAGGCACGAAAGCGUGGGGAGCAAACAGGAUUAGAUACCCGCGUAGUCCCUGUCUCUUAUACA